UACAUAUCACUGUGAUAAUCCAUAUCUUCUCAGUUUUGGCACAUCAUAGUUUUAUGAUUAGGUUUAUUGUAAACAAUUCUUAGACCCUAUUUUAUUCGUAACAUUCUGAAAAGUUCAUAGAGAAAAAAACAUAGGACUAUGAUCUCAUUAUCAUCUUGGAUCCUACGGUAAUGAGCUAUGUUUGUUUGAACCGUAGGAAAAUGAUGGUAUUAUUUGCAACACCCUCGAGAGUGUAACCCAAGUGAAGCC
rnacentral:lncRNA from 1 species